rnacentral:rRNA from 1 species
UACGUAGGGUGCAAGCGUUAAUCGGAAUUACUGGGCGUAAAGAGCUCGUAGGUGGUUUGUCGCGUUGUUCGUGAAAACUCACAGCUCAACUGUGGGCGUGCGGGCGAUACGGGCAGACUAGAGUACUGCAGGGGAGACUGGAAUUCCUGGUGUAGCGGUGGAAUGCGCAGAUAUCAGGAGGAACACCGAUGGCGAAGGCAGUGUUCUGGGCCAGUACUGACGCUGAGGAGCGAAAGCGUGGGGAGCAAACAGG